CGUGGGGUUUCUUAAAUAGUGAGAUCAUAUAGUACAUUUCAAAUGCUAUUUUUCAUAAUUUUCUAGGUCAUUGUCUAUGUUUACAGCACUGCUAAAGAACCGAGGUGCCUGUCGUGCUGAUGCAGCAUGUACAUUCCUGUUUGCUGGUCCAGGUGCAUGUACAAAGCUUGGUCUUGCAAAACAUCAUACAGUGAGCAAUCCAAGCCACAAGAGUGCAGGGACGCGCACAUCCACAGAAAUGCCACAAGAACCCUGGUGGUUUCCCUGGAGCAUGCAUAGGACAGACUGAAGAACUGCUCCCCUCACAGCUGAACUGCCCCCAAGGGAAAGGAUUGAAAUGGUGCCCCAAAGACUAAAGACACCAAUCCCUAACAGAGUUUACAAGAUGGCAGUCAAGAAACAACUUGCUGAAACACUGAAACGCCUCUGCUUAUGAGGCAAAAGAACUGAGUGAAAUCUGUUAGAACCAAUAUGGCCAGCUGGAGUUUGGACAGAAUGAGCCGCUGAUGAUGUCACAGCCUGAAUUUUCACUGCAUGUUUCAUACUAACCCCUCCCCUGAAUUUGCACAUGGGAUCCAAGAGGUAGCAUGAAGAGAUUAUUGUACAUGCCCCAGGACUUUCCAAACCUCUUCUUUCCUUCCACCAACCACCUCUCUCAUCCUGGAAUCCAUCCCUCUAACCUUUUCUAAUAAAAUUACUGCCUUAAAGCCAGGAUAGGGAGACAGAUUUGACUUGGAAUCCUGUCUCCUUAAUCAACUUAUAAUAAAAGCAUUUCUUUUCUC